UACGAAGGGGGCUAGCGUUGUUCGGAAUCACUGGGCGUAAAGCGCACGUAGGCGGAUUGUUAAGUCAGAGGUGAAAUGCCAAGGCUCAACCUUGGAACUGCUGGGUAUACUGGUCGUCUUGAGCCAAUCAGGGGCGAGCGGAACAGACGGUGGAGCGGUGAAAUGCGUAGAUAUCGUCUGGAACGCCGAAGGUGAAAACAGCUCGCUGGGAUUGUGCUGACGCUGAGACACGAAAGCCAGGGGAGCGAACGGG
rnacentral:rRNA from 1 species